rnacentral:lncRNA from 1 species
AUCAAGGAUACGGGAGAUAAUUAACAUAGCAACUCUGGCAAGUUUAAUAGUCACAAUGCAUUGACUGUUGUUUGAAACAACAUUCUCAUAUUCUCCCACACUUGGAACUGAAGAAGAGGGAAGGAUUACCUGGAUAAAUCCCAAGCACCUUCAGGGAAACACACCUGCAAUGUGAAAGAAGAUAAACCGAGGGAAAGGAGAAGAGGGCUGAGAGUCAGUGGGCUGUAAAGAACUGCUGCAUUUAUUGGAGUCACAAGCCUGUAGUCUAUCUUCGGACUCUUGAUGUAAUUUCUGAAUCACCAACCAUUUCUGAGACCACAAGCCAAGGAAACUAUGUCAUGCAGUUUACAAGAGAAGUGACCAGCAUAUAAAGGAGGCUGUAAGUGAUUCUGGAAAUCUCUUUCUGUCAUUUGCUUAACUGCAGUAGUAGAGGUAGGCACGAAGCUCUCCUCUAGGCUACCAGGGACACAUGUAGUGCUUGCCAGCUGCCAGGUACUAGGUUUAGCCUUUGAUUACACUCAUGACUUUACUUAAUCCUUAGAAUAGUACUGUGAAGGAGAUACUGUAAUUAUCCCCAUUUUACAGAUGUGCAAACCAAGGUCAGAAAAGUUAAGCAGCUUGACCAAGGUUGCACAGGUUUCAGACAGCGGCAACCUGAAAUACAGG